rnacentral:rRNA from 1 species
GAUGAACGCUAGCGACAGGCUUAACACAUGCAAGUCGAGGGGCAGCAUAGAAGUAGCAAUACUUUGGUGGCGACCGGCGCACGGGUGAGUAACGCGUAUGCAACCUACCUAUCAGAGGGGAAUAACCCGGCGAAAGUCGGACUAAUACCGCAUAAAACAGGGGCACCGCAUGGUGAUAUUUGUUAAAGAAAUUCGCUGAUAGAUGGGCAUGCGUUCCAUUAGGUAGUUGGUGAGGUAACGGCUCACCAAGCCGACGAUGGAUGGGGGAACUGGGAGGUUGGUCCCCCACACUGGUACUGAGACACGGACCAGACUCCUACGGGAGGCAGUAGUGAGGAAUAUUGGUCAAUGGGCGGGAGCCUGAACCAGCCAAGUCGCGUGAAGGAAGAAGGAUCUAUGGUUCGUAAACUUCUUUUGCAGGGGAAUAAAGUGCAGGACGUGUCCUGUUUUGUAUGUACCCUGAGAAUAAGGAUCGGCUAACUCCGUGCCAGCAGCCGCCGUAAUAC